UUAGGUGUAGGUUAUGCUGUGUAGAAGUUGAUUAAAGAUGCUGACUAUUCAGAUUUGAUUGUAUGGGUUUGUCAUCAUUACAAAGAGGGAAAUUGUUAAUCCCUUAGUUUUGAUGAUUGAUAAAUUCAUAGUUUGGGAUCUACUCCCUGGGUUUUUGUGCUGACAAAAUCUUCUACGCUUUAGGGAACAGAUUGGGCUCAUCUAUUGCUGUCACAGUCAAGUGUCUAGUUGACACAUAGUACAAAAGUUGGUUAGGUGCUGAGAUGCAAACAUUUUCAUUGUAAUCAUCUAGAGUUAGGUGAUUGUCCAAGAUAUAGUUAGCUUGAGGAGUCCAGUUAGAGUUAGCUGGAGCUGGAGGUGGAAGCAAUAGAGUUACUGCUUGGUUUCCUUGUAAUAGAGUUAUUACUAGGAAACAAAGGAUUCGGAGGUUAAUACUUAGAGUCUGUAUUCAAGAAGUUGCUUAAAUAUAGUCAAGCUCAAAAAUUCUGGAGGCAAGUCAUGGUUUUUCUCCCUUGUGCAAAGAGUUUCCAGGUAAAAAUCUUGCGUCCUUUAUUAUACAGUAUUCCUGUACUUCUUGUUUUACUUAUUUCCUAGUCCUUAUUGUGUGAGUGUAUUUGGGAAUAGUUCCUUGAUCUGAGGAGCAACCACCCCAACCCUUCAAGAACCAAAUUCUAAUGUAGUUCCCCCUGAUUAACACUUCUCUGCCUUUACAGUUGUAUAAUUAACAAUGUACUUAU